GGCGGCGAAAGGGGCGGAUGUUGUGCACCGCGUGGUGCGGACGGGCCUGGGACUGGUGGGGGCUCCAGGCCCUGGGGGCUCUAGGUCCAGCGGUGCGAUGGGCCCGCCCGGGCCGGGCCUGGCGGCGAGGGGCGUCCGCCGGGCCUCACUCUUGGGAUCAUCACCAACUUCUCCUGAGCCCCACGUUGGACCGAGACUUAUCAACGUGUGGCCUGACAGAGGCAGACAGUUCCUUUCUGAUGUCUCCGUGAUGUAAAUGAAAUUGUUGAAUCUAUAAAGAAGUUAACCAAAGAAGGAGAAAUAGCUACAAGGUUCUCCCUCUGCGCUGCAAGACAAUGCUGCGAAAGGACCUGAUAAGACAGCCUGCUGCCCCGAGCAUGUUUCUUUGGGGAAGCACGUGCCCUGUGUAGCUUUGUGAGGGAGAAGGAAAGGUGACUACACGAGUAUUGACUUGUUUCAGCCCAGCCAUGCUUUUCUCUAGAGGAAUAAGCCUCAGGCCCUUGUUGGGAGUUGGGGGCUGGGUGUGGGUCCCCAGCUGCUCCUCUCUUGCCCUGCUGUCCCCUGUGACACACAAAUGGGAGCUGCUGUGUUCGUUCUCCUGGGUCUGUGAUGGCUGUUGGCAUGUAUUACCUGAGCAGACAGCUGAGGAUGAUCGGUUGGAUCUAGAAUGACUCUGAGACCUGGGGAGCAAGCUUCUUGGUGCUCCUUUACCUGCCAGGAGACUGCAGCUGUAUUUCCUCCUGGCUCUUUUGGUAGGAGAAAGCUCUGAGUGUGGCCGCAGCGCUGCUCUGUGCUUGCUGGAGUUGAAAACCGCUGCCACUAGUGUUGGCUUUGAAGGUGUGGGGUACCAGAUGUAACCACAACAACUGGAUUGCAGUUCCGGGAGGCGGGAAGGGUGGAUAGCUGCUUAUGUCUGGGGGAGAGAAAGCUGCAGUUGUUUUUGGUGUCCCAGAAGAACUGGAGGCACUCUUGCUUAUGGUUGUUGUUGCUGUGCUGAAAACAUGCAGGUUUUAAGUACUGACUCAAGAAAGAAUGCUUGUGGGUAGUUGUGGUGGUUUAAUCCUAUCCAGCAGCCAGGACCACACAGCCCCGCCCUCUUCCUGCAGAAGGGCAGGGAGAAAAGGAGGGGAAAGGAAAAGGGAAAAAACGGCUUGUGUGUUGAGACAAGGAGAGUUUAAUAGAACAAAAACAGAAAAGGAAGUAGCACUAAGGAUAAUGAUGUACUCGCCACCUGGUGAAUUGGUCCCUUCCUGAGCAGUGAUUGUGGGUUACAGCCCCCGGCCAGCCCCCAUCUGGAUACGAGCACGAUGCCUAUGGAAGGGAAUAUUCCAUUGUGCUGUCUGUGCUGCUUCUCAGCUUCUGUGGGAAGCUGAAAAGUGUCCUUGAAAAGUACAUAAACAUCUGCCUACCACCAAUUAAAGCAACAUGCAUUCUUGACAUUCCUUUCACCGCAAUCACUGCAAAGAAAAUUAACUCUUUCCCAGUUCAAACUGGGACAGUGUGUAGGUAGACAACAGGAGAGAGAGAGCUCAGUGUAUGAGUAUUCCCUUCCUCGUGCCCCCUCCGACGGUGGGAGCAACCAGAGGGGAGGAAGGAAAUGCGGUAGCGCGGGUGUCUGCAUGCACGUGUGUGUAUGUUUGUGUGCGUGCUGCAGGUCGUGUGUGAGUGCUCAGCACAUCUGAGCUGUUGACGUGUUGGAAAAUGUUGGAGGCACCGUGAACUUUGUAAAUGUUAAGGAAGGGCUUUCCUUGUCUCUGUUUCACUGCUGUGCUUCUCUGAUUCAGAGCUGAAGCCAUGCGCUGCUCAGGGGCACAGUGUGUGGCGGUAUUUGAGGAGGAGCUGUGUUUCCUGGGGGCAGGCAGCAAUGGAUCUCCUGGGACAGCUGCAGGGAAGGGAGACGGAUGGAAUUCUGGCCUUCAUCCAAUCCUGUCAGCACAAACGUGGUGCAGGAAGUGACAGCACAGGUCAUGGCGCUCCUCCUGUGUCGACCCUCGUCAUGCCCAGGUGGUUCCAUUUCACAACCUGUUGGGAAUUGCUGGACCAUCUCUUUUCAGAAGAACAAAUGAAGGCUGUCAGUCCUGUCUUUUGUAUGCCAGAAGAUGCCCUGCAAGAACAAAGGCACGGCGAGAGCUGUCUCACAGAGAGAAAAGGUGUCUGCCCUCUCGCCGUGGUUUGACUGCUAGAAGGUCAUCUCCGAAACCAUUACCGUAUUCUCUUUUUAAAUGUGUUUAUGUUACUGUAGUAGAGCAAAACUUUGGCCUGGGCUUUGUCACUUUGGAAGUUGUGUAGAACAGGCUUGUUCUAAUCAUCGGAGCGUAACGUGUUGUUUCGUUGUAUACGAGGUUUAGAAACCUUUCUAAUCUGUAUCCAAAUGUGGGGCUUUGGAUGUUUUUCUGAAUAUUCAAGUCAAAGCAAGAGUGUGAUUGGCUUAAUUUUUGUAUCCCUGUGAUACCAACUGUAUUAACCAUCAUCUGUCUUUAUACGAAGGUGCUUUGAUGAUGGAUUAGAGUGUACUUCAAAAGAAUCUGAAAAAAGCCCUACCUAAGCUCUGCGUUAAUGCCACACACUUGCAUAUUCUUCCCAUUCAUGCUUGACAUGGCUUUUACACGCUGAGACACAAGCUGUUUCUUCUGAUGGUGUGAAACCAGCGAAAACAAAAAUUAUGGUUUCAAUAAGUGUAGAUAAAUGUCUUCAUUGAUUGAAGUCCCUCAGACAAGAUUUCCCUGAU